AGAUGCAAAGACUAUCUGUUUGACCUGGCCCCUGUGUCUGCAGGAUUGGUUGAGGCAUGCAAAAGGCCCAGACAGUGAUUUGAGCUUACUGUUGGAGAGCAUGCCAAUAGAACUUUUUAUAGAAGUAUAUUUUAAUGUAAACUAAUAACUUAUGGAAUUACAUAUAAAAGGAAGAUUUGAAAUAUUCUAAUGAGAGAAAGAGACAGAGAGAGACAGAGAAGAAGAAAAGGAGGAGGGAGAGGAGGAAGAAGAGGAG
rnacentral:lncRNA from 1 species